rnacentral:tRNA from 1 species
GGGGCUUGGUUUUAGAGCCUCUCCUUGGCAUGCAGAAGGUCCCAGGUUCAAUCCAUGGCAUCUCCA